AUUGAACGCUGGCGGCAGGCUUAACACAUGCAAGUCGAGCGAGCGGCGGACGGGUGAGUAGUGUCUUGGAAACUGCCUGAUGGAGGGGGAUAACUACUGGAAACGGUAGCUAAUACCGCAUACCAUCAGAUGUGCCCAGAGGGGAUUAGCUAGUAGGUGGGGUAAUGGCUCACAUAGGCGACGAUCCCUAGCUGGUCUGAGAGGAUGACCAGACACACUGGAACUGAGACACGGCCCAGACGCCUACGGGAGGCAGAAGUGGGGAAUAUUGCACAAUGGGCGAAAGCCUGAUGCAGCAAUGCCGCGUGUGUGAAGAAGGCCUUCGGGUUGUAAAGCACUUUCAGCGAGGAGGCGGUACUCGCAGAAGAAGCACCGGCUAACUCCGUGCCAGCAGCCGCGGUAAUUC
rnacentral:rRNA from 1 species